GAGCCGUUAGCUCAGAUCGGUAGAGCACCUGACUUUUAAUCAGGGGGUCCCGGGUUCGAUCCCCGGACGGCUCACCA
rnacentral:tRNA from 1 species